AGUGAACGCUGGCGGUAGGCCUAACACAUGCAAGUCGAGCGGCAGCACAGUAAGAGCUUGCUCUUACGGGUGGCGAGUGGCGGACGGGUGAGGAAUACAUCGGAAUCUACUUUUUCGUGGGGGAUAACGUAGGGAAACUUACGCUAAUACCGCAUACGACCUACGGGUGAAAGCAGGGGAUCUUCGGACCUUGCGCGAUUGAAUGAGCCGAGGUCGGAUUAGCUAGUUGGCGGGGUAAAGGCCCACCAAGGCGACGAUCCGUAGCUGGUCUGAGAGGAUGAUCGGCCACACUGGAACUGAGACACGGGCCAGACUCCUACGGGAGGCAGCAGUGGGGAAUAUUCGGCAAUGGGCGAAAGCCUGAGCCAGCAACACCGCGUGUGUGAAGAAGGCCUUCGGGUUGUAAAACCCUGUUGUUGGGGAAGAAAAAAAGCGGAUGUAAAUACCCCUGUUUUGACGGUACCCAAAGAGAAAGCACCGGCUAACUACGUG
rnacentral:rRNA from 1 species